rnacentral:rRNA from 1 species
AUUGAACGCUGGUGGCAGGCUUAACACAUGCCAGUCGAACGGUAACAGGAAUUAGCUUGCUAAUUUGCUGACGAGUGGCGGACGGGUGAGUAAUGCUUGGGAAUCUGGCUUAUGGAGGGGGAUAACUACGGGAAACUGUAGCUAAUACCGCGUAAAAUCUUCGGAUUAAAGGGUGGGACUUUCGAGCCACCUGCCAUAAGAUGAGCCCAAGUGGGAUUAGGUAGUUGGUUAGGUAAAGGCUGACCAAGCCGACGAUCUCUAGCUGGUCUGAGAGGAUGACCAGCCACACUGGAACUGAGACACGGUCCAGACUCCUACGGUAGGCAGCAGUGGGGAAUAUUGCACAAUGGGGGGAACCCUGAUGCAGCCAUGCCGCGUGAAUGAAGAAGGCCUUCGGGUUGUAAAGUUCUUUCGGUGACGAGGAAGGUUGAUAGGUUAAUAGCCUAUCAAAUUGACGUUAAUCACAGAAGAAGCACCGGCUAACUCCGUG